GACGAACCGUGCGAACGUUAUUCGGAAUCACUGGGCUUAAAGGGCGCGUAGGCGGGUCGGUAAGUCAGGGGUGAAAUCCCACGGCCCAACCGUGGAAGUGCCUCUGAUACUGCCGGCCUCGAGGGGGAUAGGGGCGUGCGGAACUCAGGGUGGAGCGGUGAAAUGCGUAGAUAUCCUGAGGAACACCGGUGGCGAAAGCGGCGCGCUGGAUCCCUUCUGACGCUGAGGUGCGAAAGCGUGGGGAGCAAACAGG
rnacentral:rRNA from 1 species